rnacentral:rRNA from 1 species
GUACCAGACUCCUACGGGAGGCAGCAGUGGGGAAUAUUGCACAAUGGGGGAAACCCUGAUGCAGCAACGCCGCGUGAGUGAAGAAGUAUUUCGGUAUGUAAAGCUCUAUCAGCAGGGAAGAAGAUGACGGUACCUGAUUAAGAAGCCCCGGCUAACUACGUGCCAGCAGCCGCGGUAAUACGUAGGGGGCAAGCGUUAUCCGGAUUUACUGGGUGUAAAGGGAGCGUAGACGGUCCUGCAAGCCAGAUGUGAAAGCCCGGGGCUCAACCCCGGGACUGCAUUUGGAACUGUAAGGCUAGAGUGUCGGAGAGGCAGGCGGAAUUCCUAGUGUAGCGGUGAAAUGCGUAGAUAUUAGGAGGAACACCAGUGGCGAAGGCGGCUUACUGGACUGUAACUGACGUUGAGGCUCGAAAGCGUGGGGAGCAAACAGGAUUAGAUACCCCUGUA